GACUGGGCGACCGACAAUACCUGUAUCUACAGCAGGGCCUACAGUUAAAACUAGUCCGGUAGGUCACGAUCACGGACCUCCACCUGUCACAGACAAACAAGAUCACGUGCCACAUGCAACACAUGCUAAUAAAGUAGAAGGGAAAAAAUCACUGAAAGGAUACAACAAUGUUGGAAGAAAUCUGCCUCAUACAUGGAGAGAUGAACAGAUAAAAGAAUUAAGGGAGUUUAGUAACAGAUUUAGGCUUGACCAGCCCUAACGCAGCAUUUAUGAUGAUGUUGACACGUGAAGAAAAUAACGAACAUUUGUCUGCUGUAACACGUUACCUUGUGUUGUUAUAAAGCGGAAUUAUUCUGUUAUGACAUAUCUGUCUUUAAUUCUUCUUUUCAUACCUUUUUUGUGCAAAAAUGGCGUUAGGAAACACUUUUUGCAUCAGAGUUUUAAUUCAGAAUCUGUUUUAUGCAACCUUUACGCUACUCUUGCCUAGUUAAGAAUGCUAAAUUUGAAAAAAGGUUGCAAAAAUUGGUCUUUGUUUAUUUUUCAUGCCUCAAGUUGUUUACAAAGUACAGAGUUUAUAAUUGUUGAAAAUUAUUUCAAAGAUUAGAGAGAAACAAAGUCUUAAAAUAUUGGGGUGAACAGUAGUACGUUACUUUUAGCUAGAAGUCUUCGUGUCUUGUCAUAAUGAAGAAAUGCAAAUUACACAUGAACAUUUUGUUAAAUUAAAAUUAAGUGAUUGUCGCCUCAAUGUGAAACUGUUUUGAACUGUACAUUAAUAUUCUUACUCAGCCAUUUGUUUUUCUAUGAAACAAAGAAGGCAAAGUGUACUGUUGUUAUGUGGUAAAAAUAAGUAAAUGUUCAAGCUCUUUCAAGAAUUGACUUGUCCAAGAAAAGCUUGCUGAAAAAUAAGUUUAUGUUGUGGAUGUUGCAAGAAUCAAACUGAUACAUCCCCAAUGGUGAUUUUAUUGCUGAAUAACGUAAUUGUUGUUUAGAUGCUUGUCAUUAUAACAUAAUUCGUUUGCAUCUAAACUCAGGAUUUUAUUCAGCGAUAAAAAACACUGUUGGUAUAUUAUUUGUUCGAAUUAAAGAGGCAGGUAGAAUAGUUUCACAUUAUAGUUCUUUCUCUAAUGAAAUUAACUGGUAUGUUUAUGUUAGAUUUUCACCUCGUAUCUUUGUAAAAUGGCAGUGACAAGUUGAAAAAGUGUUCAAAAAUUGUUAUGUAUAUUAUGGGGAAGUUUUCCACGCAUUUACUAAAGAAAAAACACAAACGUUUUCAAUUCAUUGUAGUAAAAAAUAAGAGUUGUCUACAUUUGCUGAUGCGUCGAUAUAACAAACCACUGUCAAAACGGUUAUUUAAAUAAGAGAAAACAUUUUGCAUUCGUGUUUUACCCAUUUAAAUGUAUUUGAAUUUUUGCACGAAAUUUCUUGUCCUCUUAUGUUGCAUCAUAAAUUCUGAUUUAGUGUUCCUUCCUCCCAUAAAUAUUCGUAGCAUUUUUCAAUUUUUAGACAUGUUUUUGUUCUUGUCACUGUAAGUAUAUGUACCUGCAAAAUGUGAUAAUGGUAUGAAUGUGAUCAUUUUGAACAUUAAAUAACCUGGUCCUGGUGUUCUAAAAAUAAGUUUGAAGUCCAGUCUGGGAAUGCAGCCUUGCCAUUGGUCAAUUUUGAAAUUGAUCUCGGAAACAACCAGUCAUUUUCUGGAGUUUCGAGACUGGUCCUCAAAACUUGGUUUUUACAACCUUGGGCCAAAUUUGUUAAGUUAUGCUUAACAACUUCUGAUGUUACUUAAACCAUUAUUCUUUGGAAAUAUUUUUGUUAAUUCUGUGCAAUUUAUUAUAAAUUUUGCAGUUUUUUGUGACCACUGAAAAUUUUCUUUCAUAUUUUAUUCAAUUUAACGGCGUAAUGAGAAACUUCAGUACCAUAGGGAGGAAUUGAUUCCUAGCCAUUGUAUCUAAUCAAAUUCAUUUUAACUUUGUAUAAAGAUAAGUACACUUUCAGCCAAAACGGUUUUUACAUAAAACAUACAUGCAGAUAACCAUUUGUUCUAUUUGGCAGUCGCAUCAUAUAUGAUUGUUCCAUUAAAACCCAUCAAUUCUAUCUUUGUGUCUUGUACAUCAAGAUUUUCUGACAUCUCUUAACAUAAUUUUAUUCUCAUGUCCUUUGUUUAAAUGUUGAACAAAAUGGGAUGAAUGUCUUGUUUAUUUGCAUUGCUACCUUACUGUUUCAAAUUGUGUAAUUUGGAGGGAGAAUAGUUAGAGAAGAAGUUGUUGCAAUAUAGAGAGCGGUGGGGAGUUUUUAUACUGAAAGUUGUCAAAAAGCAUUUUUUUUUGACAUCAUGUUGAGCAUAUUCAGCCAACUUUGACAUUAUUAUAAAUGUGUCUUAUAUUUAGAAAUCAUGUGACCUGUGUUGGUUCACAUGAAGUCAUGUGACAGUUGAAUUUUCUGUCAUGUGAUGCUUUGUUUAGCCAAUCAUGUGUCAUAUUCAAAUGAGGAAACUACCAUAUAGUUGAACGUUGAGAGAGAGAUGAUUUUAACUUAAAAACCAAGAGAUAGCAUAACUCCUGCAUUUUGAAAUGGAGCAAAUGUCUUUAAAAAGAAAAAAAUAAAUGAUAAAA